UGGCUUGGAUUCAACAAUCCCUAUCCCGGGAACUUCCAUAUGCCACAGUGCACCCAUUAAAAAAAAAUAUUGAGACUCAAAUUUGACUUUUCUUUAAAGUAUAGAGAGCCAAUAAUCUUGAAAGCCACACGAAAAAAAAAAAAAGUUUCAAAUUUUCAUGUUUCCUUUACAUGUCCAAAGUGGAUCGUGACAGUCUGAGCACAGAGCUAUAAGAGAAGGCAGAUCUUAAGAAGGUGGAGGAUAAAGUUUAAGGCGCAUUCCUGCCACACUGAGGGUUAAUACCCUCCGUGUGUGUUCACAUAAUACCUGGACACGCUAGGAAGGACAUGGCACACUAAUGCCAGCUCAGAGGACCAGGGACCAGAUGAGAGGGGAUGUCUGGACAGAGGACAUCCGACUUCAUCCAGACAUUAUCCUGCAUGAGGUCAGAGGCCCUUGCCCAUCUCCACUGCCAUUUGGAUACAAAAGCUGCCUCUGAACUUCGCGUUUGGGGAAGGGCAGGGGUGGGGAUGAGAGUUGCUGGGGAGGGGCAGGGACUGGGGAGAGACAGUGUUACAGAGAGUUCACACCUUGAAUUGAUUGAAUAUUGGCCUGACUGAGCCUAUGGGUCUUCUGUUACAGCUCCAUGUGCCUGUACUCCAAAAAACCUCUCCGUCUGUAAAAUUGCUCAGGAAGAAGAGCAAGGUUUGUAGGAAAAAUAAGUUUAGGGGCAACCACACGAAAACCUACGUACCUGGUGAACCAGAGCAUUAACAAGACAGUUAUGUCUAGUUCAGGGCUGAUGUGGACAGCCUGGGAUUGGUCAGCAGCUGCGGGCUGCCUGCGGAAACAAGAAUUCUGAGAAACAAUAGUACAAGGGCACAGGCUUGUUGUGCUGAGCACUGAGCACUGAGAAACCAGGUAACUAACCAGUAAUCAGCAUCCAGACCCUUUUAAGAUAAGGGUUUUAUGCUUUUGCCUAAUAUGUGAUUAUCUUUCAUAUGAACAAAAACUCUCCACCAGUGGGAAGAUCUCUUGCAUCAGUCAUGUCCAUAUCUAUCUCAGUAUUCUGUAACAUAAAGACAGAGUUAUACAUAAUAAAUUAUAGAUUUGUUACUCCACCAUUAGUACUUAAGUAAAAAUCACAGGGGAAAGGAGGUGGGAGGAAAAAAUAUGACUUCCACUAACAAUGCGAACAUUGCAAACAAGGUAGAAAAUGGUUUUAACAGUGAUGUUUUUGUAAUCGUUCAUGAGGUCAAGGUCGAUAUUUAUAACUUCCUUUUCACUACUUAUUUGAUCCUUAGGCUAGCGACUCAGGUGGUAAAGCCUCUUUACUAGUAGCAUGACUUGAACCUGCAUUUCUAAAGGGAUUUGAAUUCCCAGAGGUCUGUUUUGAAAUAGGCUUAAUGCAGAUUUCCACGAAGUUUGUACAUGGAAGUGCGAAGAAAAACACUUAUAGAAGAUCACAGUUUCCAAACAUAGUCCUUUCUGUCCCCGUGAGGAGCAGAACCCCGAUUUUUCAGACAGCAUAUACAACUCUUUAUGACUCUUUUGAUCAGUUGAAUGAGAAACCCCAAAUGGUCAGAGAAGUUUAAGGAGCAUCAUGUUUCCUUGGGAACAAAGAACCCUAAGCCAGCAGAGACAGAAAAUGAAAUUAUCACAGUAGAGUUUCAGGUGUAUUUGUAGGAGGGUCUGUCCCCCAAUUCUACCCCUUGAGUCUCCCUGUGGGAUAAUUUGUACCACUUGUUGAAAGCAUAUAUUUCAUCCUGUAGGGUAGAAACUAAAUUUUAAAGACUUUUCUCUCUCAGCUGGCCUUUAAUUAGCAUUCCACUGUUUUGGUCAGAUAAACUACUUCUGGAUGAUGUGGUACCUGCUAAGAUAGCAGAUUCCUUGGGUCUGGCCCUAUUGCCAUGCUUCCUUUGCCAUGAAAUAAAUUCCUUGUUUAGUAGUGAUGUUGUGUGGGAUACAAUGAUGGUGAAUAAGGCAUUAUGUAAGCCCAAGGAUAAUGGUAUGGGUAAAACAUUACAGAUAGGGAAGAGAAAUCGGUACUCAAAUAUGUGUGUGGUUUCCAUCAGUGCAAGUGGCUGCCUCCUCUGAUGAAGCAUUCCAAUACAAGUAAACCACUGCUAGUGGCUCUCUGGUUUCUCUGCAAAUAAUAGUGUAUCCAGGUCACAGGUUUUAUCUAUGCUGUUGGCAGUUUAGACAUGGCCAGAGUGAUUGCAAGUUCAGCUUUGGAGAGUGGAGUCCCUGUUCACAAGCUCCUCCGUAGCCUCCAUGCCAUCAAGAACCCUGGGGUGGCUGGGGAAGCUGGGGAAAGAGGCUGCCCGCCACAGAACAUAUCUCCUUGAAUAUCUGGAUUUUUUUUUCUCUUUUUUCUCUUUGUCUUUUUAGGCCUGCACUCAGUGCAUAUCGAGGUUCCCAGGCUAGGGGUCGAAUCAUAGCUAUAGAAGCCAGCCUACACCACAGCCACAGCAUUGUGGAAUCCAAGCCAUGUCUGUGACCUACACCACAGCUCACAGCAAUACUGGAUCCUUAACCCACUGAGGGAGGCCAGGGAUCGAACCUACAUCUUCAUGGAUGCUAGUCAGAUUCUUUUCCGCUCAACUACGACAGGAACUCCAAAUAUCUGGAUACUGAGAGCCUCUUCUGUGAUGGACAUCCUUUGGUGAUCUCUUGAGACACUCUUUUCAUGAAGGCAUUGAAAAAUAAACUAGUGAAUCAAGCAGUAGCAUUUUUGAAAAGCCCAAUGAAAAUGCCUCUAUAGGCUGGGAUGAUGGUGGGGGAUGUUGUCAUUAUGAUGGGAAUGCAGGGCUCCUGCAGUGGCAGAGAUCAAACACCAGCACUAUUUUUAGAAAUAAGGUAUCAAUACAGUAGAAACAGCAAACAGCAACAGAAUAUAAGGACUAUCAGAAUAGGUGGACCUAAAAUGAUUUUUGUACCAGAGGUAUGAAGGAGAUGGGCAACAUACCAGAGUAUUACUUGAUCUUUAUAACUGGAAAAUUUUGAGUCUAGUGGGCAAAAGCAUGAACUUGAGUUGUCACAAUAGAGUCCCAGCUUUCACCUGGUUCUGUGCUCUAGCCUGUCUAUAGACACUGAACUUUUUUGUUCUUUGUUGCAUCCUCAGUAUUUUUUAUGUGAAUGGGUGCAUGAAUAAAUGAAUGGAAAUAAGUGGCUGAUAUAAAACUGGGAAAGAAAAUCUGUUAGGGUUUGUUGACUCAAUUAGAAAAAUGUGUUGAGCAAUAUUCCAUUGCGUGUGCGUGUGUAUCUCAUAUCUUCUUUAUCCAUUCAUCGAUUCAUGAACACUUAGGUCGUGUCCAUAUCUUGGCUGUUGAGACUGUGAUGAACCUAAGGGUGUGUAUUUUUUGUGAAUUAGUGCUUUUGUUUUCUUUGGAUAGAUAACUAGCAGUGGAAUUGCUGGAUUAUAUGUUAGUUCUAUUUUUAGUGUUUUGAGGAGGCUCCAUACUGUUUUCCAUAGUGACUGCACCAAGUUACACCCCUCCAACUGUGUACAAGGGUUGCCUUUUUUUCUACAUCCCCACCAACACUUGUUAUUUGUCAUUUUUCUGAUAAUAGCUAUUCUGACUGCCAUUUGCAACAAAUCUGAAAAACAAAACAAGCAAAACAGAAGCAAACCCACUGAUACAGAGAACAAAGCGGAGGUCGCUGGAGGAGAAGGGAGUAGGGAAAUGGGUGAAAUAGAUGAAGGGGAUUAAGAGGAACAAACUUCUAGUUAGAAAGUAAAUGUCGUGCUCUAAUGCACAGCGCAGGAAAUAUGCUCAACAAUAUUGUAAUGACUUUGCAUGGAGGUCAAUGGCUGUUACACUUACCAUGGAGAUCAUUUUGUGUUGUGUAUAAAUAUCGAAUCACAGUGUUGUAUAUACCUGAAACUAUUAUUGUAUGAUGACUAAACUUCAAUUAAAAAAUAGGUUGAGGGAGUUCCCAUUGUCGAGCAGUGGAAUGAAUCCAACUACUAUCCAUGAGGAUGCGGGUUUGAUCCCUGGCCUCGCUUAGUGGGUUAAGGAUCUGGCGUUGCUGUGAGCUGUGGUGUAUGUCGCAGAUGCGGCUUGGAUCCUGUGUUGCUGUGGCUGUGGCACAGGCUAGCAGGCAGCGGUAGCUCUGAUUCAACCCUAGCUUGGAUACUUCCAUAUGCUGUGGGUGUAGCCGUAAAAAGC
rnacentral:lncRNA from 1 species